ACAUGCUUCCUUACUAUUCCAUAGUUAUUCUCUAUAGCCAUAUGGAAUGUAAAGAAGUAUGUAU
rnacentral:pre_miRNA from 1 species